rnacentral:rRNA from 1 species
GAUGAACGCUGGCGGCGUGCUUAACACAUGCAAGUCGAACGGAAAGGCCCAAGCUUGCUUGGGUACUCGAGUGGCGAACGGGUGAGUAACACGUGGGUGAUCUGCCCUGCACUUCGGGAUAAGCCUGGGAAACUGGGUCUAAUACCGGAUAGGACGAUGGUUUGGAUGCCAUUGUGGAAAGUUUUUUCGGUGUGGGAUGAGCUCGCGGCCUAUCAGCUUGUUGGUGGGGUAAUGGCCUACCAAGGCGUCGACGGGUAGCCGGCCUGAGAGGGUGUACGGCCACAUUGGGACUGAGAUACGGCCCAGACUCCUACGGGAGGCAGCAGUGGGGAAUAUUGCACAAUGGGCGCAAGCCUGAUGCAGCGACGCCGCGUGGGGGAUGACGGCCUUCGGGUUGUAAACUCCUUUCGCUAGGGACGAAGCGUUUUUGUGACGAUACCUGGAGAAGAAGCACCGGCUAACUACGUG